rnacentral:rRNA from 1 species
AUUGAACGCUGGCGGCAGGCCUAACACAUGCAAGUCGAACGGUAACAGAAAGCAGCUUGCUGCUUUGCUGACGAGUGGCGGACGGGUGAGUAAUGUCUGGGAAACUGCCUGAUGGAGGGGGAUAACUACUGGAAACGGUAGCUAAUACCGCAUAACGUCGCAAGACCAAAGAGGGGGACCUUCGGGCCUCUUGCCAUCGGAUGUGCCCAGAUGGGAUUAGCUAGUAGGUGGGGUAACGGCUCACCUAGGCGACGAUCCCUAGCUGGUCUGAGUGGAUGACCAGCCACACUGGAACUGAGACACGGUCCAGACUCCUACGGGAGGCAGCAGUGGGGAAUAUUGCACAAUGGGCGCAAGCCUGAUGCAGCCAUGCCGCGUGUAUGAAGAAGGCCUUCGGGUUGUAAAGUACUUUCAGCGAGGAGGAAGGUGUUGUGGUUAAUAGCCACAGCAAUUGACGUUACUCGCAGAAGAAGCACCGGCUAACUCCGUGCCAGCCGCCGCGGUAACAC